rnacentral:rRNA from 1 species
AACGAACGCUGGCGGCAUGCCUAACACAUGCAAGUCGAACGAGACCUUCGGGUCUAGUGGCGCACGGGUGCGUAACGCGUGGGAACCUGCCCUUAGGUUCGGAAUAACUCCCCGAAAGGGGUGCUAAUACCGGAUAAUGUCUUCGGACCAAAGAUUUAUCGCCUUUGGAUGGGCCCGCGUUGGAUUAGCUAGUUGGUAGGGUAAAAGCCUACCAAGGCGACGAUCCAUAGCUGGUCUGAGAGGAUGAUCAGCCACACUGGGACUGAGACACGGCCCAGACUCCGACGGGAGGCAGCAGUGGGGAAUAUUGGAGAAUGGGCGAAAGCCUGAUCCAGCAAUGCCGCGUGAGUGAUGAAGGCCUUAGGGUUGUAAAGCUCUUUUACCCGGGAUGAUAAUGACAGUACCGGGAGAAUAAGCUCCGGCUAACUCCGUG